rnacentral:lncRNA from 1 species
CCCAAGUUUCGUCAUAGAUGGGUCUUGUCUUUUUCUAAAGGAAGUUCCUCUUGCUCUUUAGUUGUAUUUCAGUUUUUAUGGUUGAAGUUGGAGUUCUGAAAACUAGGAGUCUUAUUGUCCUGUGGUAGACAGUGGGGUGAAUGGUCAUUACUAAAGUUCUUGAAAAUGUUCCUUGCUAAAAAUCACCACCUAAUCCGUAGCUGGGUGAGAUGAUCUUGAAAAUGUUUCUUGCUAGCUAAUCACCUCCUAAUCCAAUCCUAAACGGAGUGAGAUACAAAUAUUCAACGGUUUUAUGUAACUAAAUUGCACAAAAGUAAAAACAGAAGGUACAAAUCCAACCCGGCCCAUAGUGCUUCAAAACAAGUCCAAACUACAUAACCAACCCAAGCGGAAUUAAAACAAGAAUUGUAAAAUUGAAUCGGAUAAUGAACAUGUAGUUAGUCUCUUGAUCUGGCCUAAGUUCUUUUCUCAAUUCAGAGAGCAUGCCUAGUAUCAAAACUAAAUUCCUUUACUCGUAGCGUGUAUCCUUUAAUAUAUAUCGUCUUAUCACCUUUGGCCUUUCUACAUUUUUCCAGUCUUCAUAUAUUACCUUAUCUCACCUUUCACCUUGAGGAAGUCUAAGCCUUUAUCCAAUAUUUCAUCUCAUGCCUAAAUCAAUACUCACUCAAUCCCACUGGAGAAGAAUCAUCUCAAUAGUUAAAUGUUUUGAAGACAGUUUUUCUCCAAUUGAGAUUUGGGGGUCACGUCGAAUAUGUAUUGUGCUCAAACAUUAAUCAGAAACCAAUUAAUUAUGUAUUGAAGAAUUGAGUCUCAAAAACAUUUUUGACUUUUGAAAUUGCAAAAAAAAAAAAAAAAAAAAAAAAUGGUGGAGGACUGAUGACAAAUGCAUAUGAGUAUUUGGAGAAGGCAGGAGGCUUAGAAGAAGAAAAAUCAUAUCCAUACACGGGCAAACGAGGCCAUUGCAAGUUUGAUCCAAAAAAGGUUGCAGUAAAAAUAGUGAACUUCACGAAUAUACCAUUGGACGAGGACCAAAUCACAGCACGUUUAGUACAACACGGUCCUUUAUCAGGUGAUUUAGCUUAACAUGUAUGUUAAAAACAGUACUUUUUUGUGUGAACCUAGCAAACACUUGAUGAUUGUUUUCUGUUGGACACAGUGGGAAUAAAUGCGGUGUUCAUGCAGACAUACAUAGGAGGAGUGUCGUGUCCGCUAAUAUGCAGCAAGAAAAGGUUAAACCACGGGGUACUUCUUGUUGGAUACGGGUCGAAAGGAUUUUCAAUCUUGCGACUUAGUAAUAAACCGUAUUGGAUCAUCAAGAACUCGUGGGGAAAGAAGUGGGGAGACAAUGGAUACUACAAGCUGUGUCGUGGACAUGAUAUGUGUGGGAUUAACUCGAUGGCUUCUGCAGUGCUUACCCAAGUUUCGUCAUAGAUGGGUCUUGUCUUUUUCUAAAGGAAGUUCCUCUUGCUCUUUAGUUGUAUUUCAGUUUUUAUGGUUGAAGUUGGAGUUCUGAAAACUAGGAGUCUUAUUGUCCUGUGGUAGACAGUGGGGUGAAUGGUCAUUACUAAAGUUCUUGAAAAUGUUCCUUGCUAAAAAUCACCACCUAAUCCGUAGCUGGGUGAGAUGAUCUUGAAAAUGUUUCUUGCUAGCUAAUCACCUCCUAAUCCAAUCCUAAACGGAGUGAGAUACAAAUAUUCAACGGUUUUAUGUAACUAAAUUGCACAAAAGUAAAAACAGAAGGUACAAAUCCAACCCGGCCCAUAGUGCUUCAAAACAAGUCCAAA